GUGGGAGUAUCUAAUUGGAGCGGGGAGCGGGUAAGAGGAGCAGGUCGCGGGUAAAAGGAGCGGGUAAUUAAAAAAGGAGCGGGUAAAAGGAGCGGGUAAUUAAAAAAAGGAGCGGGUAAAAGGAGCGGGUAAUUAAAAAAAGAGCGGGUAAUUUCUAAGCGCCGGUGGGGAAUUUUAAAGAAAAAAAAGACAAUUUAUAAAAGUGUAAUAACAUGAGACCAUUUUUACUAAGUGAAACCAUUGACUUCACUUAAAAAAUCUCGGAAAUUCUAUCAAAUGUUAACAGCCUGAACAUGUCUUAUGAUGACGUGCUGAAAAUACGUACACACUAGCGCAACGUUUUUGGGUCACCAAAUGGACAAAAAUUAUUAUAACAUGCACAAGUGCUACUCAGAACUCUACAGCCUGUCUCGGCUAUUGCCUCACCAAACUGUGGUCAUGCAUCACUAACUAAACAAAAUAACACUAACUAUAGAGCAAAGGAAACUAUAAACCAUUACCUAUAAAUUUAUCCGAAUUUCAAGCCGUUUUUAGCCAGCCGGUUUUUUAUACGUACAUGCCUUACGUACAUGGCGGCCAUCAUGAGUGGCUUCAAAGAUGGCGGCUAAGUUAUCUUUCCAGUUCCCUUAAGCCCCGUUUACACUACGCUCAAUUUUUGGUACGGCACGGAUAAAAUUGGUACCCGUACCACUUUUUUGCUUCUUGGACUACCUAUUUAAGCCCCGUUUACACUACGCUCAAUUGUUGGUACCGUACCACUUUUUUGAUUCUUAAAAGAACCACCGUACCAAUACGGGUACCAAUUUUAUCCGUG